UGUAAGGGGAGAAAGGACUUGAAGAAUAGAGAAUUAGGAAAGCAAAUUCUUUAUUUAAAAGGCUUCUCCUUUGGGUUCUACCCGCCCAAGGUUCUGCCUUAAAACAUUACACACAACCCCUAUAUAUACUACUUAGAGGUUUUUGCUUACAUCACUCAUUACAUCACCAAGCACUAACUAAAGCACACUCACAUGACAUUUACUUUAAAUGACUUAUGACGUGGCAAACAAUAAACAGAAAUGACAAGCUAGUACAACACACUAAUAUCUGCCGACAAUAGGUUCAUGAUCUGGAGAGAUUCUGAUCUGAAAGGUCAUCAUGAUCAUGAAUAGUUUGGACUUGUAGGGCCAACACAUAGUCAUCUUCGACAAGCGUGUCCAUCUUAUGGGGUUCCAGAAGUUUUGGUAUUCCCAAAAUUAUUUGUUGGAGUUUUUUGUUGCUGUACUACAUCAAGUCAUGAAGAUGAGCAGAAUAUUGAGG
rnacentral:lncRNA from 1 species